AAAGGAUUGAAAAGAAGUUCACAACAAAAAAGUUUGAACACAAGCAAACCUGAAACAGAUGCAGGGUAGUAGAUCUUAAGGGUGCGUUGCUCACUCCAGGGCCUGCUGCCACCCAGAUGGCUGGCAAACACCAGGACUCCGAACACAACAGGAUUCAGGGAUUCAGACAGGAGUCUUGCUCUACCAAUUAUUAUAGGAUCUUAGAUGCCUUUCCAGUAAAGCUAACAAAAAACAAAACAAAAUAAAACCAUAUCCAAAAUACUAAACAGCUGUCUCCAAGAUCAGAAGGCAUCAGAAAAGACCCUCAAGAGUUGUCUAAUCCCAGAGGAAGAUCUUAAGUGGGGAUGUGCUCACAGCAGAAACCUUGGAAAUUUCAGGGAGUGAAAUUUUAUUGUCAGAACUUUCAAUAAAAGUGUAGCCACAGAUCCUGGGAGCAUUAAAUAAAAAUUACCAACAAGCUGUCUUACCUGUGUGCACUCCACUGAAAGGAAGGGCAAACAUGAGCAAGGAGCUCUUGUACAUCAGUCAAAAUUCUGACAGCUACCCUGUGAAGUUUGACGGGCUGCCAUGUGCUAGACUACCUAAGAUACUCUUAACUGAACCAUAAAAAGACAAAUAAAUUAGUAAUUGUA
rnacentral:lncRNA from 1 species